CCCCCCCGUUGUUUUUUUUUUUUUAUCCGCGAGAAGCCAUCACGUGGGAGGCCCCUUUAAAUUGCCAUUGACGGAGGCCCGAGCGUGUCACAUGGACAUGAUAUCAUGACCGGGCAGGAACACAGUAGCGAGGGAGCGAGGCCACUUCUUCUUCUUGGGUUCGGGGGAGGGGGGCACGCGAAGUCAUCUGACGACUAGGGGGAAAGAGAGGAUCCGGACCGCUGGACUCGGACUUGCCGAUUAUACACCUGCCAGCAGCUGCGACGCGCUUUCAAAACAACUCGACGGAGGUAAACAUCGCGGUCCCGGGAGCAGCGCCUUUUUGAGCACAGAGGCAUGGCUCAAUAUGGACGAUGACAUUGGCGUCGAGCGUGGGAGUCAGAGCCUGACACGAACAUCUUUGUAGCUCGACGUGUCACUUCCGGGGGACAGAAUGAAACAGGAAGCCAGUGGAAUAGCACGCCACAGAGAGGCCUUUCUUUCCAAAACGGUUUGUAUGUGUGUGUGGCCAUAAUGAUUUGCUUAAUAAGCCUCUUUUGGGGUCCGUUAAGCAAUUUUUGGGUAAUAUUGUGUUUUGCACAAAUUGGUUUUGUAGCUGACUAUGUGGAACAAGAUUGUAAAAGGGCUCCAAAAGUCAAAACAAAACAAACAAAAACAACAACACGAUAUACAGGGUGGGUGAAGAGUAACCCGGCAUUUUUCGUACCACUGACAACACGUUUUAAACAGACAGACACUAAGCGGUACAGAAAAUGGAUGGAUGGAUGGAACACUAAUAGGAAUUACUUAUUUUCCAGAUGUCUAACUGUUCAGGAGUGAGCUCAGAUAGCAGCUCACUUUCCUUUGCUUAUCUUCUAUCUUAUUACUUCUUCUCUUUACUUUCAUUUGCACAUGUCAUAAACAACGUGCAUCAUUUGUUUCAACAAAGUUGUAAUGGGCAUAUGGAUUUUAUUACCAAUUUUAAUCCUUAGUUACCUUUCACCCACCCUGGAUUUAAGUGGAUUCACUAUGAAAUCAGGUAAAUAAUGUACUACAUUACACACAGGACGGGCAUUUUUGAAGGGUUUUGGUGACACCUAUUGGCGACUGUUUACUACUACCGUUAUAUUACUAUUAAUUUAUUGUUUUAUUUAUUUGAAUUAUUACAUUACGUGUUGUACUUACUAUUAAAAUAUGUUAUAUGGCUGUAUGUUAUGUGCUAUAAAUGUUUCGUUUGACAGUAAACUUCAAUUGUGAUUGGCAAUAAAACACUUGAAGCCUCUUUUCCAAAGAA